GUUAGCAGUAAGGUGUAAUGUAAUAAUAUAAUUAUUCCUGCUUUUCAUAAUGAUGUGCAGUUUUACAGUUUUGGGAUGUCAUUGAAGUUUUGAUACCCUUUCUAUAAUCUAUAGUAAUAUCCCCCACCAAAACUUCAGUUACAUGUAAAGAAGAGAUUUAAUUUUCUUUUUUAAUGCAUGUGAAUGCACUUAUUGCAAGUUUCUAAACUACUGUGUUUAUACUAACAAGUAAGAUCUAGAAAUAGUGUAACUGUCUUUGUUUCACUUGUCGAUGCAUUGGGAAAAACAAUCCUUUGCUGGUAGUAAAGGUUCUAUGCAUACUUUAAUUCAAGAAGUCUUCUAAAAUUUUCAGCAAAUCCACUCUAUCUAUUCAGUUGGCUCUGAUACCUGAAAGCCUGUUUAUUUAGGCAUCAUUUGUAGUUUAUAGGUGAUUCUAGUGCUUAUGUGUCUCAUAAAGGGUAUCUACAAGUGAUCACAAUAUACAAGUACCAAUUAUGAGGUUUUGGUUCAUGUCAAGACAAAUUGAAGAGAUUAAAUGAAAAGAAAGAAUAUAUUUCCGUGCACAAUAUUCUCACUGGCAGUUCUUCCAACUGGUGUUCUACAUUGUGGUUAGUGGUUACCAUCAGCUUUUGUGUGAAACAAAUUAGUAAGAGAGACAUGAGUAGGUGUGAGAAUAUCUGCAUGUAGUUUUUACCCUGAAAGGUACUGAGGAUCAGCUGUGUAAGGAAUUGUCAUUCUAUGCAAACUCAUACGUACUUAAAUACAGCUCUGUUGAAAAUGAGCAAUUUUAUUUACAACAUUUUGAAGUCACCUAGACAAUUGAUUGUGAAAAUUUUUAAUUUGUCUGUGCAAAUCUGGUUUCCUGAUUCUUAAUCAAUAAAAGAGUUUAAUGCUCAUGGUUGGUGAUGUCUUCAGUUAUAAUCAUGUGGUGCUCCCCAACCUCCCUUUCUUGAAAGGUUUUUGUUAGGCUGAAUUUUUCCAUUCUUCUUGGUAUUAGUAGAUCAUGUCGUAUAUGAUUGUUUUUAAAAUGAGUUGUUUAAUUGGUUGGUCUGCUGAUAUAUUAAUUGUGUUAUUGUUGAGAUUUUUGCGCUUUGAUGUUCUAUUUGAAUUAUUUCCUCGUUAUUUUGACAUGAAGUUAAACCAAUCACAUGACUACCAUUUCGUAACAACCAUUGUGACAUGGGCCUGCCAUUAACUCAAAUCCUUAACAUCCAAUGUUGUUAGAUGCACAUGGACACACAUAUUUGUGUAAGGUGAAAGGAGGAUUCAAUAAUCUUAUCCAAAUUGUGCACUUUUACCAUGGCAAGUUAACAUUUAUGAAAUGAAUGAAAUAUAAAAGAA
rnacentral:misc_RNA from 1 species